GCACGUCGCACGCCGCGUCGCGAAGGGCCGAGUUUGAGUGAAUUUUUCCCUUGUUUGAAGUGUGCUUGCGCCUUGUGCUCGUCCUGUGUGUUCUACCGGUGCUGCUUAUUACGAGGAUGCGCUAUACUCAAGCGAAGACCGGCUGCUUCAUAUCGUGGAGCACUCACCAGGUUGCAUCCCUUCUCGGAUCUGGAUCAUGGCUUUCCGUGCGCCAUUCCUGCACUCAGCCGUACGGGCCGACACUGCCCUCCUCGGCGGGCAUCAUCUCACGUGGCGCUGCUGGUUUUUGUAAUCCAGUUUGGUUUCAUGGCUCGACAACGGCUAUCAUCCAAGAUAACGACGUGGGAUAUAACUGCCUACCUCGGACUUCCGCAGUUGGGCACGACACCGUUUCCACGAUGGUGCGCUUACCGGUACUGCUAACGCAGGUUGCAUCCCUUCUCGGAUCUGGAUCAUGGCUUUCCGUGCGCCAUUCCUGCACUCAGCCGUACGGGCCGACACUGCCCUCCUCGGCGGGCAUCAUCUCACGUGGCGCUGCUGGUUUUUGUAAUCCAGUUUGGUUUCAUGGCUCGACAACGGCUAUCAUCCAAGAUAACGACGUGGGAUAUAACUGCCUACCUCGGACUUCCGCAGUUGGGCACGACACCGUUUCCACGAUGGUGCGCUUACCGGUACUGCUAACGCAGCCACGUGCUCCUUGUACAAAGUGAGUGUGAAAGAAAUCCGGACAAGCCUGUCAUCAAUGGUGGCUCAUGGACAAGUUCGUUGCUGAUGUACAGCAGCUGCGCAUGGCUUCUGUUUCCUGUACAAGGGGAACUGCACUGAGAACAGCGGAGUGGGCACUUCAACCACCUGUUUGCUGUAUUCAAGUAGCUCACAUGUAGAGGGUGUUCAAAAUUAAGCUUUUUGUUUUUCUUAUAAAAAAGUCCGCGCACUGUAAGUCACGUCAAAGCCACCUUUGCAGAUAAGUUAUUAUCCAGGGGGACACAAAGUGGGACAAUAAUUAUCGCUGUCAGCCGUGCAAUUAACUGACAUUCAAUAAUGAACUUUUUUAGUGACUGCAGCAAGCGGGCAUGUAUGUAUUAAGAAGUUUGAGCCAGCUGCAUUUCUACACGAUUCCACUUCAAAGAAUUCUUCUAGCAUGUCUGGGCUCAGAUAUCCUGCUGCAAAGUUUAAUUCCGGCUUGCAUCAUUACACAUGCAGGACCUUGAGCACUGGCACAAGGCUGGAUGGCCCUGAUGUGCCAGGUUUAAUGUUACAGCGGGUAGAAGGCAUAGGCAAACAUGAUAACGGUUACCCUUUUCCUGCGGGCUGGUGAUAGCAAGCAGUGACUGCUCGUCAUACCAGGGAGUAAUAUUUUGCUGAUCCUCACUGCCUUGUAUCAUGCAAACCACAAUUAAACUUUGCAGCGGGAUAUCUCGCAGCACAGACAUGCUAGAAGAAUUCUUCCAAGUGGGACUGUGUAGAAACACGACUGCCUCCAACUUUUCAAUACAAAGAUGCCCGCUUGCUGUAGUCACUAAAAAUUUCAUUAUUUAAUCUUAGUUAAUUGGGCGGCUGACAGCGGUAAUGUCUUACUUUGUGUCCCCAUGGACACAUAACUUACCUGCAAAGUUGGUUUUCAUGUUUUUCCCAGGGCUGAAUUUUAAUGCAACCAUAAAGCACAAUCCUGAAUGUGUCAAUGCUGCUUCCUUAGCUUUGUAUUUUGUCUUUUCAAAAUCUAUUGAGUGAGCGGCUCUCUCGACUCGUGUGUCCUGUUUUCAUUCAUAUCUUAUGUGCAGUUAUCAUUUUUAAAAUUGAACUUUCAAUUUUAUGAUAAGGCAGUAGUGCAUCAAUUCACUAUUUUAUUUUCACCUUAAUAUUCACCGUACAUUUUGUAAUAUUUUUUUUUCAUCAGAGUCAAUUUUUUUAUUUUAUUUGUACAAGUACCUGAAGCGCCACGAGGGCAUUAUUGCAGGGGGAACUGCAAUAAUGCUUUUCUAAUCAUACAUAUUCCAUUGUCUUCCGGAAAUUCAUUUCCUAAGUGCAAUCAUGUGAUGUCCUGCUAUGAUGCCUAAUCAUAUUUAACUUUGUUAAUAACUUACAGAAGGCAUUCUGAAAUAUUGAAAUGUAAGUCUCGGCAUUGGGAGAUGAAUGGUGGCGACAUUUUUUAAACUACACUAUUUUGUCUGCUUGCUUUAGUUGUGUGAAGUAUAGUAAUAAUAAGUGUUUGGAUUUAACCACGAUAUGAUUAUGAGGGAUGUCGUAGUGGAGGGCUCCUGAAAUUUCGACCACCUGGGUUCUAUAAGGUGCACCUAAAUCUAAGUAGAUGGGCCUCAAACAUUUCUUCCUCGAUCGAAAAUGUGGCCACCACGGCCGGGAUUUGAUCGCGUGACCCUCGGUUCAGCAGUCAAGGGUGACACACAGUGUACUACUUUUGUGUGGGCUAUAGUUUGCUUUAAAAUAUGCAUGCUAAGUAUGGCAUUUUGGUGCCAACCACGCAUCUCUGGUAGUGCACUGAUGUUGUGUUUGUCACAUUCCUAAUUUAUUGCAGUAUUUAAUUUUAGCAUGCAUUUAUUGUGAGCAGCUCUGGGUAGCGCACUGACGUUUGUCACAUUCCUCAUUUAUUGCAGUAUUUUUUAUUUGUGUAUUUAUUCUGAGUUUGUUGUGAAGUUAUGAUUGUUCCACUUCUUCCACUCUAGAAGGUUGCAUACAUUUGUAAUUAACCCAUGAAGCCCAACAAGUCAAUCUGAUACACUUAGGUGUGCAAAGCUUAUCUCAGAAGCCCAUAGUGUUUAUAAUGCCUUGGGAAGUGCCUCUUGGUCAUAAAUUGCUGUCAUGAUGAGUUUCUUAAAACAUUUGUUUUUCUGUUUUUCAGAAAUGAAUGUACUCUUCAUUACCAAAAAAGAUGCAGAACAAGUUAAACCUUUUAAAAUGUUAAUGAUGUGUUGAGGCGUUAUGGGGUUAAAGCUGAUCUGUUAAUCUUAUUUUUCUUCAACCGCCGACAUAUGUACGUUGCCAGUUUGAAUAUUGUCUAUGAAGUGCUCUAAUCUGUAGAGUGUAAAUGAUAAUAAAUGAGUAAUAUUGCAGA